rnacentral:rRNA from 1 species
UACGUAGGAGGCAAGCGUUGUCCGGAAUUACUGGGCGUAAAGCGCGUGUAGGUGGUGGGACAAGUCUGCUGUGAAAGCGCCUGGCUUAACCGGGCGAGGUCGGCGGAAACUGUCCGACUAGAGGACGGUAGAGGGGGGUGGAAUUCCCGGGUGUAGUGGUGAAAUGCGUAGAGAUCGGGAGGAACACCUGUGGCGAAGGCGGCCCCCUGGGCCGGCCCUGACACUGAGACGCGAAGGCGUGGGGAGCGAACGGG